rnacentral:rRNA from 1 species
CCCCGGGAGGGGAGUGAAAUAGUACCUGAAACCGUGUGCUUACAAGCCGUUAUAGCCCCCCUUUUUGUGUGGGGUGGUGGCGUGCCUUUUGAAGAAUGAGCCUGCGAGUUAGUGUUUUGUCGCGAGGUUAACCCGUGUGGGGUAGUCGUAGCGAAAGCGAGUCUGAACAGGGCGUUGUAGUGGCAGGAUCUAGACCCGAAGCGGAGUGAUCUAUCCAUGGCCAGGUUGAAGCACGUGUAAGAGCGUGUGGAGGACCGAACCCACCUAGGUUGAAAACUGGGGGGAUGAGCUGUGGAUAGGGGUGAAAGGCCAAUCAAACUCUGUGAUAGCUGGUUCUCCCCGAAAUGCAUUUAGGUGCAGCGUUACAUGUUUCUUGCUGGAGGUAGAGCUACUGGAUGGCCGAUGGGCCCGCGAGGGUUACUGACGUUAGCUAAACUCCGAAUGCCGGUAAGUGAGAGUGUAGCAGUGAGACAGUGGGGGAUAAGCUUCAUUGUCGAGAGGGAAACAGCCCAGACCAUCAACUAAGGCCCCUAAGCGUGUGCUAAGUGGGAAAGGAUGUGGAGUUGCUGAGACAACCAGGAGGUUGGCUUAGAAGCAGCCAUCCUUGAAAGAGUGCGUAAUAGCUCACUGGUCAAGUGAUUCUGCGCCGAUAAUGUAGCGGGGCUCAAGUACACCGCCGAAGUUGUGGCAAUCAGUCUUUGUGGCUGGUUGGGUAGGGGAGCGUCCUGCACGAGG